UGUAUGGAGAUUCGGGAAACAAGAUGGACCCACGCAGUAUUUGGUGGUGUCCGGUGCGGCACAAGUCUGAAAGGAUAAAAUCGGAAAUGUACCCAGCUCUCUUUCUUCUUCCUUGGUUCUUUCUCUCUCCUCAAAUGAAAAUGUAGCGAGCUCUCUUUCUUCGUACUCCUCCGCGUAGAGCUCCGGCCAUGGGCGCCCCCGCCCCGACCUGGCCCAACCGCCUCCCCCACCGCCAGAACCCUAAAGCCGCCCUCCUGCCAUCCCCACCGCCUGGCCGGCCGGCCUCCCCGAACCCCUUCUCUUCUAAACCCGCCGGAGUUGGGGAAGAAGAGAGCUUCGGCAAGCUCCAGGGCGGGCGCGCACAUGGGCGGCGCGGACGGCGGAGCUGUAGAGUAGUACCUCGUCAACUGGGAUCUGGGCAUCCAGGAGCUGCUCGUCGACAACCAGCAGUCCGCCGCCACGCUCGUCGCGCUCCAGAAACAGCUCGUCGCAGCGCGGCACAAGCUGCAGGCGGUCUCCAUCGCCGCCACUAGGGCCCGCGCCGAGCGGGAGGGCGAGGUGCACGCCUUGGCAUAGCAGGCGCCGCAGAAGCAAGAGGAAGAAGAAAGCCGCGUUGGGGAAAGGACUGUCUCGGAAGGAUAAGGUUCCCGUGUACUCCUUUGAUUCCCAUAAAUGCCCCUGCGAGAACCCGGUCAAAAGACCACAUCUCAACCACUACGGCCGUGUUUGAGAUGGGCGUAACUUUUCGAGACGAAUCUAAUGACAGUAAUUAAUUGAUCAUUUACUACAGUGAUGCUACAGUAACCAUCUUCUAAUCACGCAGUUAAAGGCCUCACUAGAUUCGUCUCGCGAUUUACACGGAGGGUUGUGGAGGUGAUUUUAUAAUUAGACUUUAUUUAAUACUCUAAAUUAGUGGUCAAAGGGCCAAAAAGUUUUCGCGAAAUUUUUUACACCCCAAACCAAACACAGAGGAACAUCAUAUCCGGGCCCACACAUGCAAUGGAUGGUCACGGUAGCCCCUGUGGUCGCAUGGGCAUGUGGAAUGGUGUUUUCGCUGGUGAUAUGCAGAUCCUAGGUUGGCAGUGUGCGUGGCACAGAACCUACAGGUGCGCCCCCAUGCUAUUCCACUUUGGAAGCGAUCUCGAAGCAUCGCCGGGAGGACGAUGAGGUGUUCAGAGCAUGUUUGGAUGAAAAUUUCUGCUUUCUGAAUGCACGGAAUGGACCAGGCAGUGCGUUUGAUCCGAAAAAGGAAAACGGAGAAGUGGAGGCAGCAUGAUGGAAUAGCGGGCUGCCUAUGAUCGCUGCCCUCAAUUAUCGACGAAGCCAACAAAGCGCUGUCGGUUUCCUGAAGCUUCAGAGAAGUGCUGGUAGUCACAAACACAAGACAAAGCUACAUGCAUAAUUUCUUCUUCUUUUUUCCUUGUCCUUUUGUAUUGCAAGGGACCAAUCAUAAUUUCUGAAGAAACCAGAUCGGUUUCUCUGUUCC